AUUUUUCUAAUUUUCUGGAAUUUUCAGAUGAAAAAUAUCAAAAAUUAGAACUACCUUUUUUAGUUUCGGGUAUAUUAUAAGCAAGUUUCAGAAUCUGAUUUUGUUUCAGAUUAUUUAUGGAAUAUAAUAUCUUGAAAGUUUCUGGAAUUUUCGGAUGAAAAAUAUCAAAAAUUAGAACUACCUUUUUUAGUUUCGGAUAUAUUAGAAGCAAGUUUCAGA
rnacentral:lncRNA from 1 species